CACGUAGGGGGCAAGCGUUGUCCGGAUUCAUUGGGCGUAAAGAGCUCGUAGGCGGCUCAGCAAGUCGGGUGUGAAACCUCCAGGCUCAACCUGGAGACGCCACUCGAUACUGCUGUGGCUAGAGUCCAGUAGGGGAGCGUGGAAUUCCUGAUGUAGCGGUGAAAUGCGCAGAUAUCAGGAGGAACACCAGCGGCGAAGGCGGCGCUCUGGGCUGGAACUGACGCUGAGGAGCGAAAGCGUGGGGAGCAAACAGG
rnacentral:rRNA from 1 species